AUGUGGAGAGCCUCCGCGCUCCCGAAGGGGACGUGCGUGCUGGAACCUGUCGGAGCUGCACGGCUUCCUCACCUGCUCACCUGCUUGUCGCUGGAGUCGGGACAGGAGCACAGGGAAGCACGUGUCUGGACGGCAGAAGCCCUGUGCCACCAGAGGGCUCUGCGCCACCGUCCUGGUUUCAGCGAAGAUGCAGACUCCAGCAAGCACCGCGGCUGCUUGGAAAUGUUUUCCAAACCACAGGCUCUUGAGAACCAAGCCGUUCCUACGCUUCCGAUUCAAAACGGUUGGCAUGCCGUGCCAAGGCGGGGCUGGGGACGCCGGUCACUGUCAAAGGGAGGUGCUCUGGCUGGCAGCCGUGUCCAGGAGGACGAGGAGGCUGUGCAGGUGCCCGCUGGGGAGGCUAGCCAGACAUCCAGUGCUGUGGGCGCAGCUGGCAUUGGGCUCAUGGCGCCCUCGGGGAAGACACACAGCUCUUCCCAUGCUGUUUCGCUUCUGCCUCAGCGAUGGUCCAGCUGUAGCCACCGCACAGUGUGCAAGUGACCACUGCUGCGGGGUCAGGCCCAUCUGCCCUCCGCCUCCCAGCAGCACACGCCACCUCUGAGACACACCAGCUCCCUGCCUCCAAGCCUGGUGCCACAGGCCUGUCGUGAGGGACCCCCGCUUCCGAGAGCUCCUGGGGGGUUCUGCCCUUCACCACCUGGGAGAGGUGUCAGUUCAGUUCUGGGUUGAACAAGGCCCAUGCACACAGCAUGUUGGGGACCCAGCCCAAAGUUCUUGUCACCUCCUCAUGCAAAGCCAGCAAUCACUCUGGCCAGAGCCCCCAAACCUCAAGGUGGCCCCUUGGCCAGCCCCUCCUUGGGCCUCCAGGAGGACUGAGGACCCCUCCCAGCGGCUGCCCGUUGCCCUCCACAGGGCUGGCUGCCAGGGGCAUGUCACUCUGUGCCGUGGACUGAGACCAGCUCCUGGUGACAGAAUGACCUGUGUGUUGAAGAUGCCUCGCCGUCAGAGAAACUCCCCAGGCAUCUCGGAACGAAACUAUUUAGUUCCAUUGUGAACUGGCCACAGGACAGCUUUUUAUCAACUUAUUAAGUUGGAGCAGUAUAAUAGCUCUUGCUGAUUUAGCAAUGGUAUAAGUGUGUGUUAAACACAUAAUGUUAUGUUUUAGGAGGAGGAGGUUGUAAGAAGGGUCAUGCCGUUCAUGACUUUUCUGUUAGUUGGGUAAGUGGCCUCAUGUCUGUGUCCGUCUGGACACAGAGCCCUUGGGUUCUGUUUUUCCUUACCAGGUGAACGUGUGUGGCAUGCACUGCUGUUUGCGCCCGCUCUGUGCUGCACGAGGUUCGCUCGUGCGGCGCCCGGAUUUCUUCUGUGCACCGGGAACCUCCCUGCAUCUGUUUCUCUGUUCCUCUGUGGCUGACUCAAUAAACUUUUCCCUCUGACGUGA